rnacentral:rRNA from 1 species
AACGAACGCUGGCGGCAGGCUUAACACAUGCAAGUCGAACGCUCCGCAAGGAGAGUGGCAGACGGGUGAGUAACGCGUGGGUACCUUCCUAUUGGUUCGGACUAGCUCAGGGAAACUUGGGGUAAUACCGGAUAAGCCCUACGGGGGAAAGAGUUAUCGCCAAUAGAUGGGCCCGCGUCUGAUUAGCUAGUUGGUGAGGUAAUGGCUCACCAAGGCGACGAUCAGUAGCUGGUUUGAGAGAAUGACCAGCCACACUGGGACUGAGACACGGCCCAGACUCCUACGGGAGGCAGCAGUGGGGAAUCUUGGACAAUGGGCCCAAGCCUGAUCCAGCCAUGCCGCGUGAGUGACGAAGGCCUUAGGGUUGUAAAGCUCUUUUAGCAGGGAAGAUAAUGACGGUACCUGCAGAAUAAGCCCCGGCUAACUUCGUGCCAGCCGCCGCGGUAACAC